rnacentral:rRNA from 1 species
UACGAAGGGGGCUAGCGUUGUUCGGAAUCACUGGGCUUAAAGGGCGCGUAGGCGGGCUCACAAGUCCGGGGUGAAAGCCCCCAGCUCAACUGGGGAAGCGCCUUGGAUACUGUGGGCCUCGAGGGAGGUAGGGGCGUGCGGAACUUCCGGUGGAGCGGUGAAAUGCGUAGAUAUCGGAAGGAACACCGGUGGCGAAAGCGGCGCGCUGGACCUCUUCUGACGCUGAGGCGCGAAAGCCAGGGAGCAAAGCGGG